GGCACUACAAGUGACAUGCCAAUGGGCAGUUUAGCAAAAGCUGGAAGUGCCUUGACAUUUACAGUACACUGAAACAGUGGCUGGCUUGAAAAAUCCCAAAACGAUUUUCUGCAGGAGAGCCCUUUUGACUAAUAUGAGACAUAGUCCAGUGUAAAACAACU
rnacentral:lncRNA from 1 species